rfam:Tupaia chinensis contig173104, whole genome shotgun sequence.
CCAACGGCUCUUUUAAGAGCCACCUCCCGAGUCAGGAAAAGAGCUG